AAAAUGCAUGCCAAUCAAAGUGUGGAAACAAGUGAGAUAAUAAUAUGUGACCAGCUUCAUGUACAGCCAGAAGUCUCUUCUUUUCAAAAGACACACUUUCUUCACAUUUCUGCUGUUCUUCUUCUGUAAGAAGUACACCCAUGCCCUCGAGCAAUUGUUUAUCUAAAACAUCAACAAUGUCUUCCUGGUAGAUCCUGGAAUGUCCUUUCCUUACAGCCAUGAUUGCAGCUUCAUUGAC
rnacentral:misc_RNA from 1 species